rnacentral:lncRNA from 1 species
CAACACUGAGGAGGAGCAGUGUGCAGGGAUCCCAGCCUGGUGUUACUGCUUGAAGAAGACCUGCCGGAAACAUUUACACCGAAUGGUUCCAGUUCCACCCUCUCUACUCCACCAGGGACAAAAAGCACGUGGUCAGCUUGGGAUGAGAGGACGGGGGGGAUUGCAGCGCCACUAGAGACGCUCCCAGGUGAUGCGUGAGAGUGUUCUGCACCGCCUCUGGGUGGGAGGUUUCACAAAGACUGCUGUCCCCUCGCACUGUCUCUGCACUGCAUACUGCACUUUGGGUUGAGUUCGGUAUCUGUGCUUAAGUAGCUAUCCAUGUGCACUUGAAAGUUACGACCUGCUGUGAAUCCUCCACUCCUGGCCACCCAGGGGUUAUCAGCUGAAACUUUUGUAUCCUUUAAAGAAAAUUAUGUUGGACAUUUUGGGAUCAUCUCCAUAGUCCCUAUUGGAAUUGAAAGGCAAUUGAAGUCAACCCAGGAAAGAAAAUCAUCCUCAAAUCCAUCCGAUCUCUAAGUGCUGACAUGAGCACUGCCUUGAGAGAGAAUGGACCCUUUGGAUGGGAAAGCACACUUCUCCCUGUGCCUGCUGCAUCUUAAGCAUCUACACAUUUGCCGAAUUAAAACUUCUGAUUCAUCAAACUCUAACAUCACAGGCAGCUUUUCUGGUUUCUCGUUGCUCUUUCUCAGGAGCACACAGAUAGAUGUGUUCCACCGUGAAAGGAAGGGGCCCCGGGGCCGUCUCAUCAGAGGGCGCGGUUUUAUGACCCUAGCACUGCGACCUCACUUCCUUGGCGACAGGUCCAAACAGAACUCGGAACCCUGGAGUCACUGGGCACCACAGUCCAGCGACGGCUGCCUGACAGUCACUUGGCUGGAGAGAGUCAGCAGCGAUCAGAUCAUGCUGUGCUGCUUUCCCGGGCCCUGAGGCCGCAGCAGGACCCCGCACAGGGAAAGCACUUGGGCAUUGGGGCCCAAUGGGAGGAGAGCCGGGCAGAGGACUGCAUGGAGGGGAUGGUGCUAAGGUGAGGUCUGUGGUCAGCACCCAGGAGCAGUUGGCCACUGUGGACCCAAGUCCUUGGAAGCUGCACUCCCAGGAGGAUCCACCAGCUGAACUCCUGCCCCAGCUGGAGCAAGCUGAGCCCACUGAGGCACAGCCCACAGGACCAGCUGCAGCCCAAGCUGAAGUCCCAUAUGUGGAGCCCGAGCCAGCUCCACCUGCAGCUUCCUGCCCAGCGCUGGGACCACAGCCAGAGUCUGUGGCAGCCCCUUCACCUGCUGCAGUGCUGGGGCACCUGGUGGCUGCACGGCAGUCAGUGUCACCUCCUGAGCUCCACCUGGCGCCAGCUCCUGGCCCCCUCCCACUGUUCCCCUCACUUACGCUGGCUCACGUUUUGGGAUUUACACUUGCCCUUAUUUAUUGGAUUUAUAUAAAUAAUAGAAGUAGCUUUUAAUAAAACUUAAAAUUUUGAUGUUUAAAAGGGUCAGCGCGGUGCCCUGAAGUGCCUUCUCCCUGUGUGCGC